GCAGAGAUUAUCAUAGACAUGGUUUUCCUUGUGUUAAUGGGCUGAGAGGCUAUGAAUGUACCAUGGGAUUUGAAAGCUAUCACAAAAAUUUAAAGACAUGCUUUCUAGCCUUGGAUUUAAUGCGGGUCUUUUUUCUUCUAGUGUAAUUUGACAACGUUAAUUUUUGUGUUUAGAAUUUGACUGUCGAUUUUUUUGCAGUACAUCUCAAUCUCUUUCUUGGAUCAUUGAAC
rnacentral:lncRNA from 1 species